CUCCUGGCCAUGGUUUGGUGCAGAGAAGUAGAGAGGGCAGGGCUAUACAGCAAAAUCAUUUUAGCGGGAAGCAGAAUGUCUGUGGAAACAGUGAAGCAGAGAGUACUGCGACUGUUAACUACAGAAGGCUGCCCUGGCCCCAGCACGCCUUACAUGCAGAAAACAAAAAAACAAAACUGACAUCCAGAGGACUAGCCCCACAAAUAGCUAGGGCAGUGAACUCCAACUCAUUUUAUGAUGAGUAAUAAUUUUUUUUUAACUGGCACAAUAUCACUUCAAAGAUAUUUUAAAAAUCAGGAAAAGAACAUGUAAAACUUAUCUAAUGAAUGUUCAUCAGAAAAACAUAGCCAAAGCAUACUAUUUUCUGAAUAGCCAUCAGAAAAACAAAACCAGAGGAAAUUCUGGGCAAGCAUCAUAGACAAAUUAUGUAACUUAAUCCAAUCACUUCCAUUAAGAGUAAUCACAAGGCAGAAUCAGAACUCAGGAAAGAGACCAGAUGACGAGGAGGUAAAAAUGUGAGCAAUCAGGACUCAAGAAAAAUAAGAACAAAUCAAAACUAUCAUAGACAUGAAGACAAAACAAGAAAGAGGACAAGGGAGAAGAUAAAAAUGAAGGAUCUAACAAAAGGAAAUGGAAAUAGAGAGUUUUAAAAGCCUGAGAUUCAUGUGUAUUGCAUAUUACUUUCACAAAAAUAAAAAUGUUCUAGAGCUAUGUUGCUAACAAUGUCAAUAUUCUUAACUAUAUAAUUGAAAAUAUUAGGCCGGGCGC
rnacentral:misc_RNA from 1 species